CCUUUCCUACCCACCACCAUCGCUCCCACGUCGCUUCUCGCGAUCUACGAUCUACCGCGGCGCGCGCGUUUUACCAGUGGCAUCGUUCCUGAAAACGCAAUAGUCAACUGUGACAACACGCGAGUGUGCGAAGAGGCGCGCGCACGCGUUUCCUCGAUUGGAGAAAGAGAUCGGGAACCGAGGCGGUCCAGUGACCAAGUUGAGGGGGGACGAAUUGUCGGAACUAAUCAGGGGAAAGAGCGAAAGAGUCGUUCAAACGUUAGCCCGAGGAGAAAAGCGAUCAAGCGGAAAUCUUGUUCUCUGUCACGUCAGGAAAGAAAAAUAGGAGCGAGAGAGACGCAAAAGAAAAACCAAAGAGAAAGAUACGAACCGCGUACGCGGCAAACGAGGCGACUUUACGACUCCCUCGUCGGAGGAGUGUCGCUCGCCCUCGCGCGUUCGCUCUCCGGUUUCCCUCCCUUCCCUCUCUCCCCGCUGCCGUCCUUUCCCCUCUCUCUCCGCGCUCGAGCCACCCCCGCUUCGCUCAAGAUUCCUCCACACACAUACAUACGCAUACACACGCACACACAUCAUCGGUCGUAGUCAUCUCGUCUCUCUCUCUCUCUCUCUUUCCUCAUCUCCCCCCCACUCGUCGCCGCUGCCGCCGCCGCCUUCGCUGCGGAUCCUUUUCUUUUAAACGCUCCUUCGUCAGUACGUCUCCACCCGUCCGCGCGCGCUUGAUGCUCUCCCGUGACCGGAGAGAGAACAACUCCGCCGUUCUCCGUCCGUUCCGACACUGCGCCGCCGUCGCCGCCGCCGCCGCCGCCGUUGCUCCGCCGCCGCCGCCGCCGUCGCCGCAGUCAUCGCAGUCGCCGCGCACCGUCGCGGUCCGCUCGCUCACUCGCUUGCCCUCUUCCUUCUUGAGUGUUGCAUUAAGCGUGCCCGCGCGCGCCCAACACGCGCCAACAUUCGCCAUUGAAGCAGCCGAGUACAAUUUGCGAUGUGUGAUAAUACUAACACGACGACGCAGAGUAUAGCGGACUACCUGUCACAGUUGCUGAAGGACCGGAAGCAGCUAGCUGCCUUCCCAAAUGUCUUUAUUCACGUGGAGCGGCUGCUGGACGAGGAGAUCGCGAAGGUGCGGGCGAGUCUUUUUCAAAUCAGCGGAGUGAAGAAGGAGCCGCUCGUUUUGCCGGAGCCCGAUGGCGACAUCACGACGCUCACGGAGAAGGUUUAUGUGCCCGUUAAGGAACACCCAGAUUUCAACUUUGUCGGGAGGAUUCUGGGUCCGCGGGGUAUGACCGCGAAACAACUGGAGCAGGAGACAGGAUGCAAGAUCAUGGUGCGCGGAAAAGGGUCGAUGAGGGACAAGAAGAAGGAGGAACAGAAUCGAGGCAAGCCGAAUUGGGAGCACCUGACGGACGAGUUGCACGUGCUGCUCACUGUCGAGGACACUGAGAAUCGUGCCACGUUGAAGCUCGCCCGUGCCGUCGAGGAAGUCAAGAAGCUACUCGUGCCCGUGCAGGCUGACGGCGAGGAUGAGCUAAAGAAGAGGCAGCUAAUGGAACUCGCCAUUAUCAAUGGGACUUACCGGGAUUCGAACACAAAGGUUGCCGCCGCGGCAGCCUGCGACGAGGAGUGGCGGCGGGUAGCCGCCGCCGCGGCAGAGACUCAACGCCUGCUGCCUGGACUGGCGACGCCGAUGCGGACGCCGAGCGCGCCCCUGGGCGCGCCCCUGAUUCUGUCGCCGCGAAUAUCGGUGCCCACGACCGCGGCGUCUCUGCUGAACGGCUCCGGGCCGCCCGGCUCGCUCCUGUCGGCCGGCGAUCCCCACGGUCUCAUCUACACGCCGUACGCGGACUACGCCAACUACGCCGCCCUGGCCGCCUCGCCUUUGCUCACCGAGUACGCCACUGCUGAUCAUUCUGGCGCAGCGGCGGCCGCCGCCAAGCAGCGUAGGCACCUGGGUCAGAUCCGCGAGCACCCUUAUCAAAGGGCCGGCGCUCUCUCGUGAACACACAGAGACGGUGCGAGUACGUAGAGAGAGAGAGAAAGAGAGAGAGCGCGCGCGAAAGAGAGAGAGAGAAAAAGCGAGAGAGAGAGAAAGAGCGAAAAAGAGAGAGAAACAGAGCACUGUUCUCGCGCCAUCGCGGAAAGGCUUGGAGUGCUAACAAUGGAUAUCCACUCGCCCCGUGCUAACACCUGGACUCUGGAACAGCAUCCCGCGUUCGAUCGGUUCACCAACCAGCCGACCACCUUCGCCGUCCGUCCGCGUCACCAGCCCCGUUCGUCAAGCUUAUCCAUCAUCCUGUAUCCUCUUAAUGUUCGGAAACGUUAGUUUCUUUCGCGCGUCUCGGCGAUCGACGGAGUCGUCGCCGAUUUGGAAUCCGAGCCACUUCGCGCCGUCGUCGUAACCCGUCGACGGCGGCACGAGUUAUCGUCUCACUUCGCAAAAAAUCGUUGCGAGGUAUAUUAGCAUAAUAUAUGCAUGGAGAUUUGGGACGCUAUAUACAUUAUAAAAUAAUAUAUAAAUAUCAUAACAUAUAUUAAUAUAUAUUAAAUAUAUAUCUAUCAAUAUAUUUCAUAUAUAUUAUAUAUUUUACACAGAAUCCCCGCACGCGCCUUUUUGCGAGUAAAACGCGGGACUAUUCCUUGUUUUGGACGCGAGUCAGGUAUGCGCAAUUCGAAUUCAGUGCAACGUUAGCGGUAGUAACACUAGUUUUUAGUUUAUCGGAUUUUAUUUUUACUCUCCCGGGGAGGGGGAUUAUUUGUUGUAGCACACGCGCGCGCGCGCGAUGUGUCUCCGGAGUAUUUUUAUUUUCUCUCUCUUCUCGCGGCAGCGAUGAAAUGUUGUUCGCGUUUUCCCCAGUACUUAUGACUACGCUGGCACCUCUCCGUCUCUGGAGGUGGCAGCGCGAGAAUGUGACAACGUUAACAUAACUUAAACGCAAUGUUUAUAUUUACGCGCAUUUUUAGAGCUAACUGCUGAAGAGGAAGGUGUCGCGCGAAAAAAAAACCGAGAACUCGCGAAGACCUCGUCGGAGAAAAUCGCGAUUGAUGCCAACGUGUUUUCCCUUUUUUUUUCUUUUUUUUUCUUCGCGCAACACACCUCUCACGUCGGAGAAGCUGUCGAAAUUCUGUACAACUCUCUCGCAUAAAUGUGCCUUAUGUAAUAUUAACGUAGUGCGGCGUAACCGCGUUACCGUUCUAGAUAAAGCUUGGUUAUCGAUAGACUCUACGUAGUAGCGUUAGAACUGUGCAAUCAAAAUUUAAUUUUCUCGCGAUAUGUAUAUCCCUGGAAAGAAAAGGACAAUGCCGGUUAGAUCGCUCUCCCAACAGUGUUUCUCGUUACGUUGCGAGAAGGAUCGUUGGGAACAUCCGUAGUUAGAAUCACCAAUAUCCCGAAGAGAAGGCUUUAAGAGUAUGCGUCGUAUGCGGAUGCACGAGAGCUACAUGUAUAUAUAUUAUUUCAGCUGAAAGUAUUAAGAGAAGUGCUAUUCGCAGAGAAUAUUCUAGGACGUCAAUGUGCAAUACGUUGAUGAGAGAAAAGUGGCAGGGCGUUCAAAACGCGUUGCCAAGAUUCGUUGAAUAAAUUGCAGACUUUUAACUUUGCGAAAAAUGUACAAUUCAAGCUGCAGGAUUAUCGAGUAGAUAUAUAUAUAUAUAUAAAUAUAUAUUUACAUAAAUAUUAAUAAGAUAUAUCAUGUGGCAAAACGACGGAAACGAAAACAAUGGAGGUAUGGAGACCUGUUAUAAUUUUCCGCGACGCGGAAUUAUUUGCGAGAUAUAAUUAUAUGAGUAUAAGCAAAAAAAAAAUAUAAUCUCUGUCUACAUACGUGUAAAGAGUGUUUGUGCAUGAGAGAGUGAUUUACUUAAUAUUCGACUUUAUUAUUAUUAUAUUAGAGAGUUGCACCACUUUUAGGUCUGCCAUAUUGUACAUGUAACGAUUAAGAAUGAUAUCAAGUUGCACGCGUUAUAUAAUCUGUAUAGUCAUUCAUGUGUCAAAUGUUAUACUCGUUCUUUCGACAGAUAUUUUGAAUUUUGUCCGAGGAGUCCCUCCUAGGUAUACCGAUAGCUUGGUCCUUCGUGUAUAUAAGCGUUGAAAAAUAUACACGCACACAUUUAAGAGUGAUCUGAAAUCUACUUAAGUUUUCAACGUAAAAAAAAAUAAAUAUAUCCGAUAUAUAUAUUUUAUUAUUGUACGUAAAUAAUUGAUUUAUAUAACGAAAAUAUUUUGGAUAUCAUUGUCCCCUAUUAAGUGCGAUUAUAAUAUACGAAUUAUAUACGCGCAUUCGCGAGCGUGAUUAUACACACAGAACAGAUAUGUAUACUCUUUAUGUAUAUGCUGUCUAAUAUAUAUAUGCGCGUGAGAACGUAAAUUAUUACACAUGUAUACACAUAAUGUAUUAUACAUAUGCACUGAUUCACAGUUGAACAUCUGAACGGUAUGAAUAAAUACCGCUGUAAUUUACUUCUGCAUCAAAUGGCGAUUUAUCGAGUAUCUCUGUUAUAAUUUUGAAAAACAAAAUCAUUUUAAUAUUUGCGUUAUAUUAGAAAGAAUAAAUAAUUUAUACAGUUUAUAUUAUCGCAGUUUGCACUGCCUUAUCAAUUAUAUAAACUAUAUAUAUUGUAUAAACAUACGACUUUUUUAUGAUUUUUAAUAAUUCUACGAAAGAUUAUUAUUAUUAUUACCGCAGAAGUAAACACGGGCGAAAUUUAUUCACACCCUGUUAUCGUAUUUAUAAAUAUAUAAAGAUAAGUUACAUAAGAAAUUAUGUGCAAACAAUCUUGUUAGAUCUUACGGCAUGCGAAUUUACAUUUAUCAUUCUAUAGUUAUAUAGUUUUUUUUUGCCGAAAUUUAUUGUAUGAUAAUUUUUUAGUUUCAUAUUUUAUUUUAAUGUUGAUAUAUGUGCAGGAUAUGUGGCAAUAUUAAUGUGUAAGUGACAAUGAAAAGCAAUUCUUGUUUUCUGAAAUCUCGGAAAGAUCUGAAUAUGAAUCAUAGUAUACUGUACGCUACUUAUGGAAGAAAAUUUACAAUUUACAAUGAAAGUGCAAAUAAAAUAGUUUAUACAAACAUGUAUAAAUACUAUUAUGAACGGUAAUAAAAAUAUUUUUUCAAUA